AGUACAUUUCACAAAUUUGGAGUAAACUUUUAUGUGUACUCAAGGGAGAUGUUUAGAAAGGGAUAUCUUUGAAGAGAUGCUUCAGAAAGGAGAGAGAAUUUGGGGAACCUUUUCCAUGAUUUGAAGAAGAUGGCAAGAAGCCUCUCAACAUAUGUUGGCACCUCCAUAUUGAAUUUCCCAGCGUCCAGAACUGUGAGCUAAUAAAUUUCUUCAUUGUAAAUCA